AUUGAACGCUGGCGGCAGGCCUAACACAUGCAAGUCGAGCGAGCGGCGGACGGGUGAGUAAUGUCUGGGGAACUGCCCGAUGGAGGGGGAUAACUACUGGAAACGGUAGCUAAUACCGCAUACUAUCGGAUGUGCCCAGAUGGGAUUAGCUAGUAGGUGGGGUAAUGGCUCACCUAGGCGACGAUCCCUAGCUGGUCUGAGAGGAUUACCAGCCACACUGGUACUGAGACACGUCCCAGACUCCUACGGGAGGCAGCAGUGGGGAAUAUUGCACAAUGGGCGCAAGCCUGAUGCAGCCAUGCCGCGUGUGUGAAGAAGGCCCUAGGGUUGUAAAGUACUUUCAGUGGGGAGGCGUUACCGACAGAAGAAGCACCGGCUAACUCCGUGCCAGCAGCCGCGGUAAUAC
rnacentral:rRNA from 1 species